AAAGAAUGUUCAGCCCUGUCUGUAAUAAGAAAAAACUACCGAGUAGAAACAUGCAAAUGACUGCUACCAGAGGGAUGGGUAAACAGUGUCCCAUAUUCAUACAAUGGAACACAGAUCAGCGAUAAAAAUGAGUGAACUGGAGCUGCACGCAUAGACUGGUCUUAAAAACAUCCAGUUGAAUGGAAAAAGACUACCCAGCAUCUAUUAUGCAGACCACUGGACACCUGGAAGAUUCCCAUCCUGAGCCAAUCUGCAGCUAAGAAUGCAGGGCAGACUUCUCUCACGAGUGUGCUUGUUACUAUAAAAACUCUCAAACUUUUCUUUCUUCUUGGAAACACCCUGAGUGUUCCCCAUAGUGCUUUUUGAUUCGCAAAACUAAAACCCUUGAAUAAAUCUUUGUCAUUUAUUUCUA